rnacentral:lncRNA from 1 species
AAAAGAUCUAGGUUGAACAUUAUUAUGCUAGGCACACUCUCUAAAGGUUGGCAGGCAAUCCACGGCAUUUGGGAGCCCAGCAGUAAAUACUGUUUAGUCCUGAGACAUGUAGCGAGUGAGCAGUCCAAGAUGCUUUCCAGAGUGAGAAGCAUCUCAGCAGCACUAUAUCUUAACCAUUACUUAGCAUAUCAUCAGAACCGGGAUUCCAAUUCUAGAGGAUUUCUGAAAUUUCACCUCCUACUAAACUUUGUUCAGCCACUGGGAUAUGACACCUUUACAAUGCAAGGUACAUCUACACAAACACCCAGGGAAUGAUGCCGGCAGCCUCUGCCCCUCCAUUUGCUUUUCCACAAACCUACCAACCCGAAACAAGCAUGGUGCGGAGGGUUCGGGCCUUGCCCUGGAAGGGCUCUUCAUGGGUCAUCCAGCACGUCAACAAAACUUUGCCUGCAUAUUUGGGCUUGCCAGUCCGGGGGUCACAGCGCAGAGAGAAUCGGACACCAAAACCCAAAUAGUAGUGAUCAUUUGCUGUAAAAUACCAGCAGGUGUCUGGAAGCCUUCCCCUGGAUAUCAGACAAGCCUUGUUGACAGAAAUCUUUGGCAGAUGGUACACAAGUGGAAUGGAAGAUGUUCUAAAGUUUUCUGGGACAAUGUUAGUUAAAAGUAUACACAGCAUGGGACUAUUCAAGCGUUCAUCUCCCUUCCCCUGCUCUACAACACAGCUUAACGUUGGGAGCAGCAUGAGGAAAGGAGGGCAAUAAAAUAGACCUGUACAACA